UGGUGGGCUAGGCCGGGGGGUUCGGCGUCCCCUGUAACCCGAAACCGUCGAUAUGCGGGGGCCGAAGCCGAGGGAAGGUUCGCUCAGCGGGGAUGCAAGUUUUGUCCGGCUCCGCAGAGUCCCCGUCCUGGAGGGUCGUCGGUUACGGUCGGGCUGCCCGGAGGGGCUGUCCGCCGUAUUUGCCGGGGGAACCGGCCCAGGCCCGGAAGGGAGCAGGCUAACCCCGGACGUUCGGCGCUUCCAGGGGUGCGGGGAGGAGGAGUCGGGCUUAGCUGCUCCCCGUGAUGCGGAUCGACCCGAGGCGUGCCCACCU
rfam:Archaeoglobus veneficus SNP6, complete genome.